CAGGACGAACGCUGGCGGCGUGCUUAACACAUGCAAGUCGAGCGAUGAAGCUCUUCGGAAGUGGAUUAGCGGCGGACGGGUGAGUAACACGUGGGUAACCUACCUCAUAGAGGGGAAUAGCCUUCCGAAAGGAAGAUUAAUACCGCAUAAGAUUGUAAUAUCGCAUGAUAUAGCAAUUAAAGGAGCAAUCCGCUAUGAGAUGGACCCGCGUCGCAUUAGCUAGUUGGUGAGGUAACGGCCCACCAAGGCGACGAUGCGUAGCCGACCUGAGAGGGUGAUCGGCCACAUUGGGACUGAGACACGGCCCAGACUCCUACGGGAGGCAGCAGUGGGGAAUAUUGCACAAUGGGGGAAACCCUGAUGCAGCCAACGCCGCGUGAGUGAUGACGGUCUUCGGAUUGUAAAGCUCUGUCUUCAGGGACGAUAAUGACGGUACCUGAGGAGGAAGCCACGGCUAACUACGUGCCAGCCGCUGC
rnacentral:rRNA from 1 species